rnacentral:tRNA from 1 species
GUCCCUGUAGCUCAACAGGAUAGAGCGCAUCCCUCCUAAGGAUGACAUGGGGGUUCGAGCCCUCCCGGGGACACCA